ACCUAUAUCUGUGAUACUUACAGUGUUCGGCUAGGCGCCGACUAGGCGGCGCCUAGGCGCGCCUAAUCGCUAGUCGACGGGGUGCCGCGUAGCCUAGGGGGUUAGGCGCGGUCUAGGCGGCCGCGGCGCCUAGGCGUCGACCAGCAGCGCCUCGGCGGCGAUUCGGCGGCGAGCAGGCGCUCAAGGCGGCGCUUAGUCGGGCGGGCUGCUGCGCGCGCAAUUUUUUUUCGGCCGCGCGCUAUAUAGGCGGCCGCGCGGGAAGAUUACCUCGCUCCCGGUCGAUUCCCGCUCGCAGACCCUGCUCCCGCUCGCAGAUGCGCGCCGAAGGGGAGCUUCACCCGCCUGCAUUGCUCCUCCCUACCGGCGCUGCUCCUCCCCCGUCGGCGCUGGUCGUCCUCGCGCGGCCUUGCUCCUCCAAGCCAGCGCUGCUCGUCCCCCGCCUGGAUCUCCUCCCCGCCGGCGCUGCCCGUCCUCGGCUCCUCGCCUGGAAGCUCCUCCCCGCCGGUGCUGCUCGCCUGCAGUCCUCCAAGCUCCCCUGCUUUCCUCCCCCUGCGGGCGCGGCCUCCCCUGCUUUCCUCCCCCAGCAGGCGCACACAGGGGCCAGCGGCCAGGGGCGCCGUCGGGCACGGCCAGCAGCACGGCCAGCAGCACGGGUCCCAUGUCCUGAGGCGGCAGCACCUGCCCCUCGCUUCCCAUAUUCGGAGCAAGGUCUCCUCUUGCGUGAAGGUAGUAGUGGCCUGAGUGCUUCCCCUGUUCCCCACAUGGAAAUCAAUCCGCAAAUCCAUGGUAAGCUUUGUGAUGCUUGGUCGAAUGUUAGUUAAAUUUGCA